GUUAACCGAAACCGCGCAAGGCUCAUUACAACAGCUAAAAUGUAUACGGUGAGAUACCAUUAAAUGGAUAUCUGCGGUAAAUCUGGAGCUAAUACAUGCAAAAAAGAUUGUAUAAUUAUGUCUGUAUGGUGGCAGUUAUUAGAUUAAAACCAAUGGGGCUCUGCCCCUAUAUGUUAACUCUAGAUAAUGCGUUACCAUACAGAUUAUAUUUUCUGAUGGGAAUGGCCCGUUAUUUGUAUCUGCCCUAUCAACUAUAUAACCGUGUAUUGAACGGUUAUGGUGUUGCCGGGUAACGGGAGAAUUAGGGUUCGUCUCCGGAGAGAAUGCCUUAAAAACGGCUUUCACAUCCAAGGAAGGCAGCAGGCGCGAAAAUUACCCACUCUCAGUGCGAGGAGGUAGUGACGUGAAAUGACAAGUUGCAUUCUUUAUAGGAUGGAACAUUGGAAUGGUUUAAUUUUAAAUCCAUUGAAGAUUAUCAAUGAGAGGGCAAGUCUGGUGCCAGCAGCCGCGGUAAUUCCAGCUCUCAUACUGCAUUGAAUUGCUGUUGCGGUUAAAAAGUUCGUAGUUGCAAGUGUACGGAGUGAGAUGGUUUAACCUCUAUGGGGAAAACAAUAAU
rnacentral:rRNA from 1 species